CUAUUUUGUUAGUAAAGAUAAAAUUAUUAUCAAAUGGUUAUCUUUUGGUGUUCUAAAACACUCUCUACUUUAAGUUUGUCAAACGUCAUCUUAGCUUCUCUUUACAACACUUUAAGAACAAGACUUCUUACAUAAGCUUCAAUCAAGCCUAACUGGCCCUUCUUGUAGCUAGAUUGUAACCAAAUUAACAUUUUCAAGAUCCACAGGAAGUACGGAUAUAACAGAUAACAGAAAAGGUGACACAAGUUGGUAAGAAAACAAGUUCUGUUUGGGCAUUUGACCUAUGCCCUUGGGAGGGAGGGAUCAUAUAGGUAAAGAGUAUAAAAAGGUUAAGGGAAAUACAACUUUUUUUGAUUGAAAAUAGAGUAUUUAUAGAACAAUACUCGGCCUAAAAGAAAAUUCAAAAUAAUUUAAAAAACA